UUCUGGGGCUCAGAGGUAGAGUGCUCACCUAGCAUGUGUGAGGCUCUGGGUUCGAUCCUCAGCACCACAUA
rnacentral:tRNA from 1 species